rnacentral:rRNA from 1 species
ACGCUCGACACCUACGGGGGCAGCAGUAGGGAAUCUUCCACAAUGGGCGCAAGCCUGAUGGAGCAACACCGCGUGAGUGAAGAAGGGUUUCGGCUCGUAAAGCUCUGUUGUUGGAGAAGAACGUGCGUGAGAGUAACUGUUCACGCAGUGACGGUAUCCAACCAGAAAGUCACGGCUAACUACGUGCCAGCAGCCGCGGUAAUCUGAGGCGGGCGUGGACGAAGGC